AAGGACGGUGCCAGCCGCCGCGGUAAUACCGGCGCCCCAAGUGGUAGUCGCUUUUAUUGGGCCUAAAACGUCCGUAGCCGGUCUGGUACAUUCGUGGGUAAAUCAACCAGCUCAACUGGUUGAAUUCUGCGAGCACGGCCAGACUUGGGACCGGGAGAGGUGUGGGGUACUCUCAGGGUAGGGGUAAAAUCCUGUCAUCCUGAGAGGACCACCUGUUGCGAAGGCGCCACACUAGAACGGAUCCGACGGUCAGGGACGAAGCCUAGGGGCACGAACCGGAUUAGAUACCCGGGUAGUCCUAGGUGUAAACGCUGUGGACUUGAUGUUGGGGGCGCUCCGAGCGCACUCAGUGUCGAAGCGAAGGUGAUAAGUCCACUGCCUGGGGAGUACGGUCGCAAGGCUGAAACUUAAAGGAAUUGGCGGGGGAGCACCGCAA
rnacentral:rRNA from 1 species